rnacentral:rRNA from 1 species
AGGUUAAGUUAACAAGGGCGCAUGGUGAAUGCCUUGGCACUAGGAGCCGAUGAAGGACGGGACUAACACCGAUAUGCUUCGGGGAGCUGUACGUAAGCUAUGAUCCGGAGAUUUCCGAAUGGGGCAACCCAGCAGUUUUAAUCAACUGUUACCACUAGAUGAAUUCAUAGUCUAGUUGGAGGUAAACGCUGUGAACUGAAACAUCUCAUUAGCAGCAGGAAUAUAAAGAAAUUUCGAUUCCCUAAGUAGCGGCGAGCGAACGGGGAACAGCCCAAACCAAAGUGCUUGCACUUUGGGGUUGUAGGACUGAACAUUUGAGUUACCAAAGAACUUGAUAGUCGAAGGAUUUGGGAAAAUCCGCCAUAGAUGGUGAUAGCCCAGUAGAUUAAAUCAAAUUCUCUCAGUUCAGGAUCCUGAGUACGGCGGAACACGUGAAAUUCCGUCGGAAUCCGGGAGGACCAUCUCCCAAGGCUAAAUACUACCUAGUGACCGAUAGUGAACCAGUACCGUGAGGGAAAGGUGAAAAGCACCCCGGGAGGGGAGUGAAAUAGUUCCUGAAACCAUGUGCCUACAAUAAGUCAGAGCGCGUUAAUGCGUGAUGGCGUGCCUUUUGUAGAAUGAACCGGCGAGUUAUGAUCCCGUGCAAGGUUAAGACUAAAAAGUCGGAGCCGUAGCGAAAGCGAGUCUGAAAUGGGCGUUUUGAGUACGAGGUUAUAGACCCGAAACCAGGUGACCUAUCCAUGUCCAGGUUGAAGGUGCGGUAAAACGCACUGGAGGACCGAACCCGUGUAAGUUGAAAAUUGCUGGGAUGAGGUGUGGAUAGCGGUGAAAUUCCAAACGAACUUGGAGAUAGCUGGUUCUCUCCGAAAUAGCUUUAGGGCUAGCCUCGGAAUUAGGAUCAUGGAGGUAGAGCACUAUUUGGACUAGGGGCCCGUCUUGGGUUACUGAAUUCAGAUAAACUCCGAAUGCCAUUGAUUCAUAUCCGGGAGUCAGACGAUGAGUGAUAAGAUCCACCGUCGAAAGGGGAACAGCCCAGACCAUCAGUUAAGGUCCCUAAAUGUAUGCUAAGUGGAAAAGGAUGUGGAGUUGCAUAGACAACUAGGAUGUUGGCUCAGAAGCAGCCACCAUUUAAAGAGUGCGUAAUAGCUCACUAGUCGAGUGAUCCUGCGCCGAAAAUGUACCGGGGCUAAGCAUACUACCGAAACCAUGGAUGCGACCAUUAGGUCGCGUGAUAGGAGAGCGUUCUAAGGGCGGUGAAGCAAGAUCGUGAGGACUUGUGGAGCGCUUAGAAGUGAGAAUGCCGGUAUGAGUAGCGAAAGAUAGGUGAGAAUCCUAUCCACCGAAUGACUAAGGUUUCCUGGGGAAGGCUCGUCCUCCCAGGGUUAGUCGGGACCUAAGUCGAGGCCGAGAGGCGUAGACGAUGGAUAACAGGUUGAGAUUCCUGUACUAGUUAAGUGCGUUUGAGCAAUGGAGGGACGCAGGAGGCUAAGAUGUGCAUUCUGUUGGAUUAGAAUGUCCAAGCAGUAAGUCUUGUGAAGAGUCAAAUGCUUUUCACUUUAAGGACAAGCUGUGAUGGGGAGCGAAAUUUAGUAGCGAAGCGUCUGAUGUCACACUGCCGAGAAAAGCUUCUAGUGAGUACUUAACUACCCGUACCGCAAACCGACACAGGUAGUCGAGGAGAGAAUCCUAAGGUGAGCGAGUGAACUCUCGUUAAGGAACUCGGCAAAAUGACCCCGUAACUUCGGGAGAAGGGGUGCUGAUCGCAAGAUCAGCCGCAGUGAAUAGGCCCAGGCGACUGUUUAUCAAAAACACAGGUCUCUGCAAAAUCGUAAGAUGACGUAUAGGGGCUGACGCCUGCCCGGUGCUGGAAGGUUAAAAGGAUGGGUUAGCUUCGGCGAAGCUCAGAAUUGAAGCCCCAGUAAACGGCGGCCGUAACUAUAACGGUCCUAAGGUAGCGAAAUUCCUUGUCGGGUAAGUUCCGACCCGCACGAAAGGCGUAACGAUCUGGGCACUGUCUCAACGAGAGACUCGGUGAAAUUAUAUUGUCCGUGAAGAUGCGGACUACCCGCGACAGGACGGAAAGACCCCAUGGAGCUUUACUGUAGCUUGAUAUUGAGUGUUUGUACAGCUUGUACAGGAUAGGUAGGAGCCAUAGAAACCGGAACGCUAGUUUCGGUGGAGGCGAUGGUGGGAUACUACCCUCGCUGUAUGACCACUCUAACCCGCACCACUAAUCGUGGUGGGAGACAGUGUCAGGUGGGCAGUUUGACUGGGGCGGUCGCCUCCUAAAAAGUAACGGAGGCGCCCAAAGGUUCCCUCAGAAUGGUUGGAAAUCAUUCGCAGAGUGUAAAGGCACAAGGGAGCUUGACUGCGAGACAGACAGGUCGAGCAGGGACGAAAGUCGGGCUUAGUGAUCCGGUGGUACCGUAUGGAAGGGCCAUCGCUCAACGGAUAAAAGCUACCCUGGGGAUAACAGGCUUAUCUCCCCCAAGAGUCCACAUCGACGGGGAGGUUUGGCACCUCGAUGUCGGCUCAUCGCAUCCUGGGGCUGUAGUCGGUCCCAAGGGUUGGGCUGUUCGCCCAUUAAAGCGGUACGCGAGCUGGGUUCAGAACGUCGUGAGACAGUUCGGUCCCUAUCCGUCGCGGGCGUAGGAAAUUUGAGAGGACCUGUCCUUAGUACGAGAGGACCGGGAUGGACAUACCUCUGGUGUACCAGUUGUGCCGCCAGGCGCAUCGCUGGGUAGCUACGUAUGGAUGUGAUAAACGCUGAAAGCAUCUAAGUGUGAAACACACCUCGAGAUGAGAUUUCCCAUUCCUUUAUGGAAGUAAGACCCCUGAAAGAUGAUCAGGUAGAUAGGUUAGAAGUGGCAGUGCGGUGACGCAUGAAGCGGACUAAUACUAAUCGGUCGAGGACUUAACCAAG